rnacentral:rRNA from 1 species
UACGAAGGGGGCUAGCGUUGCUCGGAAUCACUGGGCGUAAAGCGCACGUAGGCGGAUUGCUAAGUCAGGGGUGAAAUCCUGGAGCUCAACUCCAGAACUGCCUUUGAUACUGGCGACCUUGAGUCCGGGAGAGGGAUGCGGAAUUCCAGGUGUAGCGGUGAAAUGCGUAGAUAUCUGGAGGAACACCGGUGGCGAAGGCGGCAUCCUGGACCGGCAUUGACGCUGAGGCGCGAAAGCUAGGGGAGCAAACGGG